rnacentral:misc_RNA from 1 species
UUUCCGUAGGUGAACCUGCGGAAGGAUCAUUACUGAGUGAGGGCCCCUCGGGGCCCAACCUCCCACCCGUGUUUAACGAACCUUGUUGCUUCGGCGGGCCCGCCUCACGGCCGCCGGGGGCAUCUGCCCCCGGGCCCGCGCCCGCCGAAGCCACCUGUGAACGCUGUCUGAAGUAUGCAGUCUGAGACAAUUAUUAAAUUAAUUAAAACUUUCAACAACGGAUCUCUUGGUUCCG